AUUGAACGCUGGCGGCAGGCCUAACACAUGCAAGUCGAACGAGUGGCGGACGGGUGAGUAAUGUCUGGGAAACUGCACGAUGGAGGGGGAUAACUACUGGAAACGGUAGCUCAUACCGCAUACCAUCGGAUGUGCCCAGCUGGGAUUAGCUAGUAGGUGGGGUCACGUCUCACCUAAGAGGCGGUCCCUAGCUGGUCUGAGAGGAUGACCGGCCACACUGGAACUGAGACACGGCCCAGACGCCAACGGGAGGCAGCAGGGGGGAAUAUUGCAAAAUUGGCGCAAGCCUGAGGCAGCCAGGCCGCGUGUAUGAAGAAGUCCUUCGGGUUGGAAAGUACUUUCAGCUAGGAGGCGUUACUCGCAGAAGAAGCACCGGCUAACUCCGUGCCAGCAGCCGCGGUAAUAC
rnacentral:rRNA from 1 species